CUCUCACUUCGUUCACAAUUCUGAAACAGACAAAUGGAAAGAACACAAAACAAUUCUUCUCAUCCUCUCUCUCGAUUUCGUUCAUUCUCAACGAACAGCAACAAUAACCUGGUUUUUCUUCUCUCUCUCGCGCAAUUGAUGGGCUCUCUCAGUCUCUCUUCACUCACGAUUUGAACAACAAAAACUGAAGCUCUUCGAUUUUUCGGCGGCCAUGGAACAAGAACAAAAGUCCGGUUGCUCGCUGUGAACAACAACGAUGACAACCUUCAAGUUUUCGGCGGCCAUGGAAAUAGAAAUCAGAAGCAAAAAUCCAGGAACCAAACACUUACAGUAGUAAUUGACAGCAAUGUUAGGAGUAAGGUGUGAGAUGGACUUACCUACGGCGAGGAGAUUUUCACCGGCACAGUGUUGAG